GACGAACGCUGGCGGCGUGCUUAACACAUGCAAGUCGAACGGAAAGGCCCUGCUUGCAGGGUGCUCGCGUGGCGAACGGGUGAGUAACACGUGGGUGAUCUGCCCCUUAUUUUGGGAUAAGCCUGGGAAACUGGGUCUAAUACUGGAUAGGACCAUGCUGUAGGUGGUGUGGUGGAAAGAUUAGUUUCGGUAAGGGAUGAGCUCGCGGCCUAUCAGCUUGUUGGUGGGGUAAUGGCCUACCAAGGCGUCGACGGGUAGCCGGCCUGAGAGGGUGGACGGCCACAUUGGGACUGAGAUACGGCCCAGACUCCUACGGGAGGCAGCAGUGGGGAAUAUUGCACAAUGGGGGCAAGCCUGAUGCAGCGACGCCGCGUGGGGGAUGACGGCCUUCGGGUUGUAAACUACUUUCAGCUAUGACGAAGCCCUUGUGGUGACGGUAGUGGUAGAAGAAGCACCGGCUAACUACGUG
rnacentral:rRNA from 1 species